rnacentral:tRNA from 1 species
UUCCCGACCCAGGGAUCAAACCCGUGUCUUCUGCAGCUCCUGUAUUGCAGUCAGAUUCUUUGCCACUGAGCCACUGGGGA